UAGUCCACGCCGUAAACGGUGGGCACUAGUUGUGGGGACCUUCCACGGUCUCUGCGACGCAGCUAACGCAUUAAGUGCCCCGCCUGGGGAGUACGAUCGCAAGAUUAAAACUCAAAGGAAUUGACGGGGCCCCGCACAAGCAGCGGAGCAUGCGGCUUAAUUCGACGCAACGCGAAGAACCUUACCAAGGCUUGACAUAUACAGGAAUAUGGCAGAGAUGUCAUAGCCGCAAGGUCUGUAUACAGGUGGUGCAUGGUUGUCGUCAGCUCGUGUCGUGAGAUGUUGGGUUAAGUCCCGCAACGAGCGCAACCCUCGUUCUGUGUUGCCAGCAUUUAGUUGGGGACUCACAGGAGACUGCCGGGGUUAACUCGGAGGAAGGUGGGGAUGACGUCAAAUCAUCAUGCCCCUUAUGUCUUGGGCUGCACGCAUGCUACAAUGGCUGGUACAAACGGCUGCGAUACCGCAAGGUGGAGCGAAUCCGAUAAAGCCAGUCUCAGUUCGGAUUGGGGUCUGCAACUCGACCCCAUGAAGUCGGAGUUGCUAGUAAUCGUAGAUCAGCAACGCUACGGUGAAUACGUUCCCGGGGCUUGUACACACCGCCCGUCACGUCACGAAAGUCGGUAACACCCGAAGUCAGUGGCCCAACCGCAAGGAGGGAGCUG
rnacentral:rRNA from 1 species